rnacentral:rRNA from 1 species
GAUUAACGCUGGCGGUACGUUUAAUACAUGCAAGUCGCACGGAGCAAUUUGUGGUUCAGUGGCGAACGGGUGAGUAACAAGUAGGUAACCUGCCUUCAAGACGAGGAUAACAGUUGGAAACGAUUGCUAAUACUGGAUAGUAAUAGGAAAGGCAUUUAGACUAUUUUAAAGGUCCUUAUGGGAUUACUUGAGGAGGGGCCUCCGGCGCAUUAGUUAGUUGGUGAGGUAACGGCUCACCAAGACGAUGAUGCGUAGCUGGACUGAGAGGUUGAACAGCCACACUGGGAAUGAGAACGGCCCAGACUCCUACGGGAGGCAGCAGUAGAGAAUUUUCGGCAAUGGGGGGAACCCUGACCGAGCGAUACCGCGUGAAUGAAGAAAUACUUCGGUAUGUAAAGUUCUUUUAUAGAGGAUGAAUGACAUAUGUAGGAAAUGACAUAUGUAUGACGGUACUUUAGGAAUAAGCCCC